UACAGAGGGUGCGAGCGUUGUCCGGAAUCACUGGGCGUAAAGGGCGCGUAGGUGGCGGCAUAAGGCCGUGGUGAAAGUCCAGGGCUCAACCCUGGGAUGCCGGUCGAUACUGCCGGACUAGAGUUCGGAAGAGGCGAGUGGAAUUCCCGGUGUAGCGGUGAAAUGCGCAGAUAUCGGGAGGAACACCAAUGGCGAAGGCAGCUCGCUGGGACGUUACUGACGCUGAGACGCGAAAGCGUGGGGAGCAAACAGG
rnacentral:rRNA from 1 species